CUUGUUACAUUUACAAAUUAUGUCGGUUUUUCAAAACCAGUACAAUGAAUGUUAAGUGUCCUAUUUAUUAAUUAAUAAAAUGUGCAGAGUAUUUAGUAAGAUUAAGUAUCAAAUUUAUAACAUCCAGACUGAGAUCCAGUGGUAACAAACACACUAUGUCACGGUUUAAAAAAAAAAAAAAAAAGUCAUUAGUAACAAUAACCCCAUUCCCUAAAUUGGGACAGACAAUCAAGUAUCUCUACAUUCCAUCUUGUUUUGGCAAUGAUAUUUACAAACAAUUUUACAUUGACUGGGAUUAAUGGAGAAAAAUGUCGUUGACUGCCCUUAAAAAGAAAAAAAAACAUGUUUAGCAAAUGUACAAUUAUAAUUUAAAACUCCACAACUUUAUCCCAAUAUUUUGUUCCACACACAUAUAUGAGCCAUCAUGUCAGAAGUUAAAGUCAUGCCUAAUUUAACAUUUCCUUAGUUGACUACUUAGAAAAACAAAAGUUCAUUCGAAAUAGCAUCGGUGUCAAAGGCGAAGGUCCCUUCCAGAUUGUUCUUGGAAUCAAAUUCAUUUACACCUUUCACCCUAACCCCUUUCAUCUCUCCCAGUGAUAGUACAACGAGUUACACCCCUAAAAAGCCACCCUGAUCCCCUAGUUUACAUAUUUCCCCUUAGACUGAAAUUCACUUACGAAAAGAGAUUACAAAGGGGCAUCUUGACACUUCAGGAGAGGGUCAUUCGCUGAUACAAUAGACAAAGAAUCGAUACUUUCGAGUUGCCAUAGCCCCACCCCCUUCUGAACUGCAAUGUGUUUGGCUAAAUGAUUUAAGAGCCAAAGAAUACGCCUCUUCCUCUGUUCAUACUUUACAACGUUUUGUCUUUUAAUUUUGCAUAUGCCUUCGUCUCCCACACCCCAAACACACGAUGUACCUUCCCUUGGCGCAUUCUAGCCAAACUUUCCCAAUGUCAAGUUCCCUACAGGGAAAACUAAACAACCUUGAAAGUUAAAAUUCGGGAGAGACAAUGUGAAAUUAAACACACAUUUCUUUCCAAGACAUAACUAACUGCUUGCAAGUAAGAGUCAGGAAAAGUUCAUUUACAUUCUGUCAAAACCAGUCGCUCCCGACCAUAACGAGGCUGACAGUCGGUCACUGCCCCUUACUCAGUUUUCUCUCCCCGCCCCUCCAUGUUAGUUUUUUUUUUUUUCCCAGUCCGUUUCCUGAGAAUUUCCCGGUCGCACUCAUUUGUUAAACACUUUAAAGGUCAGAUUUGCCCCCAUCCCGCCCCCAAAACGUGCUUUACAACCCCCAAACGCCACAGCACUUUUUUCAGAAUUACCACCAGAUUUUUUUCGGCCUGCCGUAACAGACGUUACAAUUGGGAAAGAGGCCAGCCACCAAGUCCCUUUUUUAAAAAUCGCAUGUCACCUCUGGCUCCACUCGAAAAUGGCGCCGAAAUCGAAGAACUUCUUAAAUUUCAUUGCAAGCUUUUUGCAAAGGUUUCUGGGAUUUGCCUGCGAAGCUGUUUCGCCGCGUCCGAGAGCGAGCGAACGUGCAAGCCAGCGAGGGAGAGAGGGAGGAAGGGCUGGGGAGGCGGAGAGACAGACCGAGCGAGCGACACACGGACAGCGACGGACAGCGACAGAAGCGGGGCCCGGGACUUGGGAGACGGCGAGGUUGCGGGGCGCGAGGUGCCGGGCACGGAGCUACAGGGACGCAGAACCGAGAGCCGGGGUCGCAGCGCGGAAGGGGCGCUGGCUGCUGCCGAAGCUCGGAGAGCGGCGUGGCGGAGGCGGAGCGGUGCUAGGGGCCAGCGCGGAGCGCUCCCUGGGAGGCGAGCGGCGCAGCCGGCGGAGAGGCUCCCGGAGCCGCCCUAGAAAAAGCCGGCUCGGGGGGCGUGGCCACGCGCUGCUGGCGCUCCCCGCCCCCCGGUGGCCCCGCUCGGCUCCGGGGCCCGGGGGCGGAAGGGGGGAGGGGAGGAAAGGAGCGGUAGGGAAGGGGGUUGUGCAGGCGCUCGAAGCCGCAGCCUUGGCCCGCUGCGGGGGCGGGCCGAGAAGGGCACUGGGCGCCCAGAGUAACCAACACCAAGACGAAUAGCGAGGGCUCGGGGAGAAAAAAACGAAGGAUGGCAAACGGCAAAGCCAAGGGCAUGAGAUAGCACAGCGCGCACCCAGAGGCUCCUGCGAUGGACGCCACCCCGCGCUCACCGGUCCUCUGGUGGUUCCUUUGAGCCGCCGGGAGGGCGCCAGGUGGCUGAGCGAGGCUUCUUGCUCGGUGCUUCCCAAACCUCAGAUGGUUUGGGAAGGGAAACAGGGGGUCUCAGACCGCGUGGAUGCGGCGCUCUCGCCACGCGUUUGAGUGCAGGUCUGUCGAGACGCCCCAGCCCUCGCCACCCCACCAAGCUCUCAGGUAGAGAGGCCCCGGGACAGGAAACCUGUUUAUGCACCCUCCUGCAAUCCCACCACCCGCCCAGGCCAAGUGAGUGAGCCCCUCUCCGCUACUGGUGUUUCAUCAUUCUGGGAGCUACUUCGAUUUCAUGCAUUGCCCUUCAGCUGCCAUGUUAUGAGGACGCUCGGACAGCCUAUGGAGAAAGCUACAAGAGAGGAACUGAGGUCUCCUGCCAUCAGCCACUUGAGUGAGCAUGGGAGUGGAUUCUCCAAACUCCAGUUAAGACUUGAGAUGACCACAGUGGCAGCCACAGCUUGACUGCAACUUACGAGAGACACUGAGCCAGAGGCACUCAGCUAAGUCGUGCACAGAUUCCUGACCCAUAGAACCUGUGACACAAUGAAGGUUUGUUGUUUUGGGGGUAAUCCGUUAUUCAGCAAUAGAUAAUGAAUACGGAAGGCCUUGUAAUUGUAUAACCAACGUGAGUUUAUAAGCGGAAAUCUGACCUCAUUUGUUUUCUCCUGAAAAAGUUGUAGAACAAUCACAAGACUGCAAGUCACUCCCUCUCUUUCUCUCUUUUGUGGGAAAUAAACAAGUAUAAUUACAAUUUUUAAACCCAUUGUUUUAUUCUCAAAUAAAAUUACAAUUUAAACAGGAUAUUGUACAGCUCCAUUGUAGGGAUUAACACUAAUGAGAAUUAAAGGACAUUUUUGUGAAA